rnacentral:rRNA from 1 species
AUGGGAACGCGAAGAACCUUACCUACUCUUGACAUCCAGAGAACUUUCCAGAGAUGGAUUGGUGCCUUCGGGAACUCUGAGACAGGUGCUGCAUGGCUGUCGUCAGCUCGUGUUGUGAAUGUUGGUUAAGUCCCGCAACGAGCGCAACCCGUUAUCCUUUGUUGCCAGCGGUCCGGCCGGGAACUCAAAGGAGACUGCCAGUGAUAAACUGGAGGAAGGUGGGGAUGACGUCAAGUCAUCAUGGCCCUUACGAGUAGGGCUACACACGUGCUACAAUGGCGCAUACAAAGAGAAGCGACCUCGCGAGAGCAAGCGGACCUCAUAAAGUGCGUCGUAGUCCGGAUUGGAGUCUGCAACUCGACUCCAUGAAGUCGGAAUCGCUAGUAAUCGUAGAUCAGAAUGCUACGGUGAAUACGUUCCCGGGUCUUGUACACACCGAGUCGUGGGAGGCAAGGGGCACAC